UGGGGAAUAUUGCACAAUGGGCGCAAGCCUGAUGCAGCCAUGCCGCGUGUAUGAAGAAGGCCUUCGGGUUGUAAAGUACUUUCAGCGGGGAGGAAGGCGAUAAGGUUAUUAACCUUGUCGAUUGACGUUACCCGCAGAAGAAGCACCGGCUAACUCCGUGCCAGCAGCCGCGGUAAUACGGAGGGUGCAAGCGUUAAUCGGAAUUACUGGGCGUAAAGCGCACGCAGGCGGUUUGUCAAGUCGGAUGUGAAAUCCCCGGGCUCAACCUGGGAACUGCAUUCGAAACUGGCAGGCUAGAGUCUUGUAGAGGGGGGUAGAAUUCCAGGUGUAGCGGUGAAAUGCGUAGAGAUCUGGAGGAAUACCGGUGGCGAAGGCGGCCCCCUGGACAAAGACUGACGCUCAGGUGCGAAAGCGUGGGGAGCAAACA
rnacentral:rRNA from 1 species